rnacentral:rRNA from 1 species
ACCUACGGGGGGCAGCAGUGGGGAAUAUUGCACAAUGGGGGGAACCCUGGUGCAGCAACGCCGCGUGAAGGAAGACGGUUUUCGGAUUGUAAACUUCUAUCAAUAGGGAAGAAAGAAAUGACGGUACCUAAAUAAGAAGCCCCGGCUAACUACGUGCCAGCAGCCGCGGUAAUACGUAGGGGGCAAGCGUUAUCCGGAAUUACUGGGUGUAAAGGGAGCGUAGGCGGGACUGCAAGUUGGGUGUCAAAUCUACCGGCUCAACCGGUAGCCGCACUCAAAACUGCAGUUCUUGAGUGAAGUAGAGG